GACGAACGCUGGCGGCGUGCCUAAUACAUGCAAGUCGAGCGGACGGAUGGGAGCUUGCUCCCAGACCGUCAGCGGCGGACGGGUGAGUAACACGUGGGCAACCUGCCUGUAAGACUGGGAUAACUCCGGGAAACCGGGGCUAAUACCGGAUAACUCUUUCCCUCACAUGAGGGAAAGCUGAAAGAUGGCAUCUCGCUAUCACUUACAGAUGGGCCCGCGGCGCAUUAGCUAGUUGGUGAGGUAACGGCUCACCAAGGCGACGAUGCGUAGCCGACCUGAGAGGGUGAUCGGCCACACUGGGACUGAGACACGGCCCAGACUCCUACGGGAGGCAGCAGUAGGGAAUCUUCCGCAAUGGACGAAAGUCUGACGGAGCAACGCCGCGGGAGUGAUGAAGGUUUUCGGAUCGUAAAACUCUGUUGUCAGGGAAGAACAAGUACCGGAGCAACUGCCGGUACCUUGACGGUACCUGACCAGAAAGCCACGGCUAACUACGU
rnacentral:rRNA from 1 species